CCUACGGGAGGCAGCAGUAAGGAAUAUUGGACAAUGGUCGCAAGACUGAUCCAGCCAUGCCGCGUGCAGGAUGACAGCCCUAUGGGUCGUAAACUGCUUUUGUGCGAGAAAAAACCCCUCUACGUGUAGAGGGCUGAUUGUAUCGUAAGAAUAAGGAUCGGCUAACUCCGUGCCAGCAGCCGCGGUAAUACGGAGGAUCCAAGCGUUAUCCGGAUUCAUUGGGUUUAAAGGGUGCGUAGGCGGAAUGAUAAGUCAGUGGUGAAAGCCUGCAGCUUAACUGCAGAACUGCCAUUGAUACUGUCAUUCUUGAGUACAUUUGAUGUGGGCGGAAUGUGUCAUGUAGCGGUGAAAUGCUUAGAUAUGACACAGAACACCGAUUGCGAAGGCAGCUCACAAAACUGUAACUGACGCUGAGGCACGAAAGCGUGGGUAUCAAACAGGAUUAGAUACCCUGGUAGUCCACGCUGUAAACUAUGAUUACUCGAUGUUUGCGAUACACUGUAAGCGUCCAAGCGAAAGCGUUAAGUAAUCCACCUGGGGAGUACGCUCGCAAGAGUGAAACUCAAAGGAAUUGACGGG
rnacentral:rRNA from 1 species